rnacentral:lncRNA from 1 species
UCUUUAAUUGCCUGUGAUUUUGCUUCAUCUUCUCCAUUGUAAAAAUCUCCAAGAGAGGGAAAAUGUUGUAUGUAUAAUCUGCCUCUAGUCUCAGCUUAUGCUUUUGUCCUCAACCCUGUGGCUGUCUCUGUUUCUUCUUGUUAAAAAGCUGUAGAAAAUUUCGAUCCGGAUGAUAAAUCUAAAAAUCUCAGAACUUGUAAGUGAAUAACGAAAAAUAGAAAGAAAAUAGAGUACUAUAUAUAUAGUAGUCUCUGGUUUAGUCUUGUUAGUUUCCAGAGAGCAAAAAAAAAAAAACAUGGAUACGGAAAUAAUCAUACAAGGAGCAAUUUUGGCACUAACCUUCGUUACGUUCUGGGCGAUUAAGUAUCUGUCUCAACAAGGCAUAACCAAGUUCCGAACCAAACACCGAGCCACACUCCAAACCCAGCGUCAGCUAAUCCAAGCCUCUCGUCUCCUCGCUCGGGCUCGAACCACAAACAAGAAAUCCC